UACGUAGGGGGCUAGCGUUGUCCGGAUUUAUUGGGCGUAAAGAGCGUGUAGGCGGCCUGGUAGGUCUGCUGUGAAAACUCGAGGCUCAACCUCGAGAUGUCGGCGGAAACCAUCUGGCUAGAGUCCGGAAGAGGAGAGUGGAAUUCCUGGUGUAGCGGUGAAAUGCGCAGAUAUCAGGAAGAACACCAAUGGCGAAAGCAGCUCUCUGGGACGGUACUGACGCUGAGACGCGAAAGCGUGGGGAGCGAACAGG
rnacentral:rRNA from 1 species